AUUGCCUCAGUAACGGCGAGUGAAGCGGCAAAAGCUCAGAUUUGAAAUCUGGCGUCAUAUUGGCGUCCGAGUUGUAGUCUGUAGAGGAGUAUUCGAGUGUGGCGCUGGCUUAAGUUCCUUGGAACAGGACGUCAUAGAGGGUGAGAGCCCCGUUAACGGCCUUUGUCUUAUGCUCAUGUGAAUCUCCUUCAACGAGUCGAGUUGUUUGGGAAUGCAGCUCUAAAUGGGUGGUAAAUUCCAUCUAAAGCUAAAUACUGGCAAGAGACCGAUAGCGCACAAGUAGAGUGAUCGAAAGAUGAAAAGAACUCUGAACAGAGAGUUAAAUAGUACGUGAAAUUGUUGAAAGGGAAGCACUUGCUACCAGACACGCCUGUGGUUGAUCAGCCUUCAUUCUUUGAUGGUGCACUCGGCCACAUGGUGGGUCAGCAUCAGUUAUGGCGGUGGGAUAAAGACUUGGGGAACGUGGCUUCUCUCGGGAAGUGUUAUAGCCCUGGGUGUAAUACCGCCUGCUUGUGACUGAGGACCGCGCCC
rnacentral:rRNA from 1 species